GCCGCGUCUAGGGUAGCCCCCGAAAAGCCGGUUCCCUGCCGGCCGGACGCGGCCUCCGAUUCGCAGGG
rnacentral:sRNA from 12 species